GUAGUAUAUCUGAAGCCUGUCAGCCUUGUGGUGUCACUCAGAAAUUGCUGCCAGGAGUACAUCAUUCACAUUAUAUUGAUACUGUGCGUGCGAUGGAAAAACCAGACUGCAUCUUCUGAAGAAGAAAACGACACUUGCCAUGUUGUUAACGGAAGAAACCGACACCCAGUGGUCUAUAUCUUCAAUCUAAUGGCAACCUACGGCUUCACCCGGAGUUAUGAGUUAUGGCACACCACCACCGUCCACCCUUGAUCGCGCAUCCAAGAGAAGGGCUCUGGAGAACGGAGCUGUCGCUUUCUUUCUUCCUGGAGAAAUUGACAUCUAUAUGCAUGUAUGUGGUGUAUCUCAGAUUCGGAGUUUGGAUUUUACCUGAUGAUGAAAUGUGAGUUGCAAUACACUUGGAUAGUUUGUAUCAGAAAGACCCUUCUGUUGCCUGUUUCUCCACGUACUGAGGCGUUGACUGCAGGGUCGGGCAACUUGUUACAGACAAACAGAGCUAUGUAAAUGUGCUGCCAUGUAUCUUUUUUUCUUUUUCUAUACUUUGUACUUCUUGAACACUAUGUUUGCUUAAUAUAUGGCUGUAUGCAUCCCUUGAUGCA